GGACGAUAUGAUGCUUUACCAUCUUUCGGGACUGACAUGUCAUGGAGAUGCUUUUUAUUUUACUGAUCGUAC